CCUACGGGAGGCUGCAGUGAGGAAUAUUGGUCAAUGGGCGCGAGCCUGAACCAGCCAAGUCGCGUGAGGGAAGACGGUCCCAUGGAUUGUAAACCUCUUUUGUCGGGGAGCAAAAUCCGCCUCGCGUGCCUUUCCGAGAGUACCCGACGAACAAGCAUCGGCUAACUCCGUGCCAGCAGCCGCGGUAAUACGGAGGAUGCGAGCGUUAUCCGGAUUUAUUGGGUUUAAAGGGUGCGAAGGCGGACGAUCAAGUCAGCGGUAAAAUUGGGGGGCUCAACCUCUGCGAGCCGUUGAAACUGGUGGUCUUGAGUGGGUGAGAAGUAUGCGGAAUGCGUGGUGUAGCGGUGAAAUGCAUAGAUAUCACGCAGAACUCCGAUUGCGAAGGCAGCAUACCGGCGCUCAACUGACGCUCAUGCACGAAAGUGUGGGUAUCGAACAGGAUUAGAUACCCCGGUAGUC
rnacentral:rRNA from 1 species